GGUGAACGCUAGCGGGAGGCCUAACACAUGCAAGCCGAGCGGUAUUGUUUCUUCGGAAAUGAGAGAGCGGCGUACGGGUGCGUAACACGUGUGCAACCUGCCUUUAUCUGGGGGAUAGCCUUUCGAAAGGAAGAUUAAUACUCCAUAAUAUAUUGAACGGCAUCGUUUAAUAUUGAAAGCUCCGGCGGAUAGAGAUGGGCACGCGCAAGAUUAGCUAGUUGGUGAGGUAACGGCUCACCAAGGCGAUGAUCUUUAGGGGGCCUGAGAGGGUGGUCCCCGGCAGUGGUACGGAGGCACGGACCAGACUCCUACGGGAGGCAGCAGUGAGGAAUAUUGGUCAAUGGGUGCAAGCCUGAACCAGCCAUCCCGCGUGAAGGACGACUGCCCUAUGGGUUGUAAACUUCUUUUGUAUAGGGAUAAACCUACCCUCGUGAGGGUAGCUGAAGGUACUAUACGAAUAAGCACCGGCUAACUCCGUGCCAGCCGCCGCAGUAA
rnacentral:rRNA from 1 species